rnacentral:lncRNA from 1 species
CUGCCGUGUCCAUUUAGCUUGCAACCGUCCUCCCAAUGCCCGAAGGAACAGGAAAGGAUUCCGAAAACUCUAGCCUGCAUGGGAAGCCGCAGUACUAAUUGGGACCUGCAGACAUUGCAGGAGGAAGUCUGCCUCCCCGGCUGGUGCUCCUGAUGGGAUCGUUCGGUCAGUCUUGGCAAAAACAGCAGGGAAGAGUGAGCUGGGAGACCAGAGUUUGCCAGCGCUGUUGUUGAGACUGUUUCCUUGUGUAGCUGCUGUCAGCAUCCCUGUUCCAGCUGGAACUGGCCCCUGCACCAUCCACAGCUCCAGCCGCAUGUUCCAGAACUGUUGCUGCAAGCAGGUCUUUUUGCAGAGAGAAGAGUACAAGGCUCUUUGA